rnacentral:rRNA from 1 species
GGGGGCAAUCAUACCAGUAAUAAUGCACUGGAUCCCAUGAGAACUUCGAAAUUAAAUUUGCUUGGGCGAGAGUAGUACUAAGAUCGGUGACCUUCUGGGAAAGCUUUUUGUGGCACCCUU